rnacentral:rRNA from 1 species
UGGGGAAUAUUGCACAAUGGGCGAAAGCCUGAUGCAGCGACGCCGCGUGAGGGAUGACGGCCUUCGGGUUGUAAACCUCUUUCAGUAGGGACGAAGCGCAAGUGACGGUACCUGCAGAAGAAGCACCGGCUAACUACGUGCCAGCAGCCGCGGUAAUACGUAGGGUGCGAGCGUUGUCCGGAAUUACUGGGUGUAAAGAGCUCGUAGGCGGUUUGUCACGUCGUCUGUGAAAUCCUAGGGCUUAACCCUGGACGUGCAGGCGAUACGGGCUGACUUGAGUACUACAGGGGAGACUGGAAUUUCUGGUGUAGCGGUGGAAUGCACAGAUAUCAGGGAGAACACCGAUGGCGAAGGCAGGUCUCUGGGUAGUAACUGACGCUGAGGAGCGAAAGCAUGGGUAGCGAACAGG